rnacentral:rRNA from 1 species
CGGCCUUCGGGUUGUAAACCUCUUUCAGUAGGGAAGAAGCGAAAGUGACGGUACCUGCAGAAGAAGCGCCGGCUAACUACGUGCCAGCAGCCGCGGUAAUACGUAGGGCGCAAGCGUUGUCCGGAAUUAUUGGGCGUAAAGAGCUCGUAGGCGGUUUGUCGCGUCUGCUGUGAAAGCCCGGGGCUCAACCCCGGGUCUGCAGUGGGUACGGGCAGACUAGAGUGCAGUAGGGGAGACUGGAAUUCCUGGUGUAGCGGUGAAAUGCGCAGAUAUCAGGAGGAACACCGAUGGCGAAGGCAGGUCUCUGGGCUGUUACUGACGCUGAGGAGCGAAAGCAUGGGGAGCGAACAGGAUUAGAUACCCUGGUAGUCCAUGCCGUAAACGUUGGGCACUAGGUGUGGGGGACAUUCCACGUUCUCCGCGCCGUAGCUAACGCAUUAAGUGCCCCGCCUGGGGAGUACGGCCGCAAGGCUAAAACUCAAAGAAA